AUGGUCUCCAAAAGUCCAAGGGCAGCGCUAUAUUUUUUGAGUGUCUAUUUAUUUUUGAUUGGUAUCUAUGGAUUGAUCAUAGGCUGAAACAUGGUUAGAGCUCUAAUAUGUCUUGAACUUAUACUGAAUUUAAUUAAUCUAAAUCUCAUAACAGCCGCCGGUCACAUCCAAACCGUACAAUGA
rnacentral:rRNA from 1 species